rnacentral:rRNA from 1 species
CGUGUAGGCGGUUGGGUAAGUGGGAUGUGAAAUGCCCCGGCUCACCCGGGGACCGGCAUCCCAAACUGCCUGACUUGAGUAUGGGAGAGGAUGAGGGAAUUCCUGGUGUAGCGGUGAAAUGCGUAGAUAUCAGGAGGAACACCGGUGGCGAAGGCGCUCAUCUGGCCCAAUACUGACGCUGAGGCGCGAAAGCUAGGGGAGCAAACGGGAUUAGAUACCCCGGUAGUCCUAGCCGUAAACGGUGAUCACUAGGUGUUGGAGGCAUCGACCCCUCCAGUGCCGCAGCUAACGCAUUAAGUGAUCCGCCUGGGGAGUACGGCCGCAAGGUUGAA